UCCUUCCAAGCUUUGCUUAAGCAAAAGGAGGACAUUUCAGCACUACGUCACUUUGUAUUAAAUGGCAAAUGUGAGAUGCAGUGUAUCGAAUGUUCAAUUCUAAUAUGAGAAAUUAACGGUUUAAGCUCACCUUAAGUGAGGCCAUUCACCCAUAGAGAGUGCUAGGCCCGCAUAACGUUAAUGAUUACUAGAGAGAGAGAGGGAGAAAGAGCAAUUCCCAGGAGUUGUGUUGCUAGAUAGUGCAGCCCUAAGCCAUAAGCGUGGCGGCAUACUCCGUCUAAAACUAAAUAUAACCAUGAGACCGAUGAGGCAAAGUUGAAAAUAACUCUUAAUAGUGAGUUAAAUAUAAUAAACAGUAUGUGGAACUGCUUAGAGGCUAAGCCCGAUGAUCCCGAAUAUGCAUGAUGGGAAAUUUCUCAUUAUGAAUUAUAUGAAUGGUGCAUUUUUUCCAUACCGCUAUAGACACCUUAUGUAUUUACAAGCACACGCAAUGGGCGUCUAUAGAUGUCAUUCAUGUCAACGGAUUAACAUCAUAAAAUCAGCUUUAAAUUCCGUUCAAAUUAUUAUCCUCGCAUUUCACUUCAGAAUAAAAGUUUUUGAUUUGAGAGAUCGUUAAUAGAUUUAUAUUUAUACAAUGCUUAAACAUAUUUACAUAUUUUAUAAUGACAUAUAAGUCAAUCGACUUAUAUGUUUAUUAUAUGCACUUAUAUGAUUUACGAUACGAAAGUUUCGUUCAGGUUGCCUUCGGGACUCAUCUUGAAACACGGACCAAGGAGUCUAACAUAUUUGCAAGUUAUUGGGUUCUUUAAAAACCUAAUAGCGAAAUUAACAUGACAAAAUUAAUAUGGAAUUAAUUUUUAGUUGUAGCAUAUUUAGACUAUUAAUUCAAGCCCGGGGCCUCUAUCUAGAAGGCCGAAACGAUCUUUGUCUAUUCUCCUCAAACUGUAGAUGGGUGAGAAACUCAUCUUGCUUGGUAUGAACGUUGUUCUUGUGAUAUAAUGUGGCCAGUGAGCCACUUUUGGUACGCAGAACUAGCUUUAUGAGAUGCGCCAAACGUAAUGUUACGGCGCCCAAAUUAAGAAUUUAUACAGAUACCCUGAAAGGCGUUGAUUGCUUAAAACAGCAGGACGGUGCACAUGAAAGUCGCAAUCCGCUGAGUAGUGUGUAACAACUCACCUGCCGAAGGAACUAGCCCUUAAAAUGGAUAGUCUUUAAGUUGAACACCUAUACAUUACCGCUUAAGUAAAUGUUUGAAAUUCAAUUAAUUUGGAUUUGUAAACUUUAAAACUUUAGCGAGUAGGAGAAUACAACGGCGAGCGUAGAAGCGUUUGGCAUAAGACUGCAUGGAACCGCCACUGAUGCAGAUCUUGAUGGUAGCAGCAAAUAAUCGAAUGAAAGCUGUGAGGACUAAAGUGGAGAAGGGUUUCGUGUGAAAAAUGGUAGAUCACGAGUUAGUCGGUCCCAACUUCAAGGCGAAAGCUGAAAAUUUUCAAGCUAUAUAUUAAAAAUAUAUAUGUAUAUACAAAAAUGAUGUAUAAAAACGCUUGAAAAUAAUGGAAUGGAAGGGAAUACGGCUCCAACUCCGCAACUGUUGAAUAUCCGUUUGCUUAUGAAAUGUGAGCUUUGAGCUCAUCCUGGCAACAGGAAUUGCUAUAAAUUAGCCGUCGAGAAAUGUCGGAAGUGUGUUCUUUUUUGUUUUAUAAUCUUACCAAGCUGGAAGUCUAUCGAAGAGCGAUAUGGUAGAUAGGCUAAAGAAGUAUGACAUUUACUGUUGUGUCGAUAUUUUCUCCUCGGGCCUUGAAAGUUUAUGAUUGGACCACCCAAACUUCUCAACAGACCGUACCAAUAUUCACAGUUGGUCCCCAAGGUGAAGAGUCUUUAAUC
rfam:Glossina pallidipes unplaced genomic scaffold Scaffold41, whole genome shotgun sequence.